rnacentral:sRNA from 1 species
UUUCAGACGGUUUUUGUCAAAAAUGAAAGUGGCCGCAUCCGUGUUCAUCCUAAACCUUUAUAUAUGUUAUGUAUUAUUAUAAAAUACAACUUACAUUUCAAUAUUAAGGAUGAACACGAAUGCGGCCACUUUCUUUUAACACGAAAACCGUCUAAAA